rnacentral:sRNA from 1 species
CCUCGGGUACCUGCUGUGGACAGAUAAAGUGGAUGUGACUAUCGAUGGCUCCGGCGGUGACAAUCUUGCCCUCCCCUGCGACGACAUCCGUACAGCUUCCAACCACCAUGCCGGGCGUCACGCCGUCCAUCACGUCUGGAUUGCCCGCCUUGCCGAUGCCCACGAUCAUGCCCUCCUUGACACCGAUAUCUGCCUUGUAAAUGCCGGUCCAGUCCACGAUGAGCGCGUUGGUCACAACCAGAUCCAGAGUCUCAGCAUCUGGUCGACCCGUUGCCUGACCCAUUCCCUCACG